rnacentral:rRNA from 1 species
AUUGAACGCUGGCGGCAGGCCUAACACAUGCAAGUCGAACGAGUGGCGGACGGGUGAGUAAUGUCUGGGAAUCUGGCUGAUGGAGGGGGAUAACGACGGGAAACUGUCGCUAAUACCGCAUACCAUCGGAUGAGCCCAGAUGGGAUUAGCUAGUAGGUGGGGUAAAGGCGUACCAAGGCGACGAUCCCUAGCUGGUCUGAGAGGAUGACCAGCCACACCGGGACUGAGACACGGCCCAGACUCCUACGGGAGGCAGCAGUGGGGAAUAUUGCGCAAUGGGGGCAACCCUGACGCAGCCAUGCCGCGUGAAUGAAGAAGGCCUUCGGGUUGUAAAGUUCUUUCAGUAGGGAGGCGUUAACUGCAGAAGAAGCACCGGCUAACUCCGUGCCAGCAGCCGCGGUAAUAC